CAGAGAACAUUUAGGAGGGAACUGUAAGGAACAAAAACAUUUGCUGGGUGGGCAGAAGAGAGAGCCUGGGAGGAAAUAUCAGGGGCUGUGAACAAGAACCAGGGAGAAGAAACGUUCAGGGAGGAAACAGCAGUCACAAGUGACAGAGAUUGGUGGUAAAUUACAUCACCUAUGUCAGAAAGGGUCCCUUAGACCUGCCAAUUAGGAGGCUUGGGUAUCGUAGCCUUAGCUAGAAUAGUUUCAGUGGAUUGGUGGGCUAUGGACUGAAGACAGAAGGUUAAGAAGCAAAUGUAGCAAUUGUAGAACAUGGUUUCAAGAAGUGCAGCCAUGAAAACAACAGACAGAUUUCAUUUAGAAAGGCAAGGUCAAAGGAGUUUUUUUACUUUUUUUUUUUUUUUUUUUUUAGAAGAAAGGCAGCUUGGAAUCUGUAUAAAUGAAAGAGAGAGAUAGAAUGGGUAAAAAUGAUUGAUGGAAGAAUUUUGACCUACUGGGUUUGAGCGCGAAAGCUCACCAGUUGACGGGAUGCUUGGGGAUUUGCAACCGCCUCAUCGCUGCCCCCUACCGGCGCAUAUUCAAAACGUCUCUGCGAAAAGCUGUUAUUACCUUCGGAGCCAACAGGGGCUGCUCGUUUACCCACAGACAGUCGGAAAAAAAUGGCCGCCGGAUCACAGAGAGCAAAAAGCAGGGCUAAUCUUCCGAAGAGGAAUCCCACUACUGCCUCCUUAUAAGGGAAAAACUCCUCUCAGAGGAACCCAGAACGCCCUGUGAUGACAGAGGUGAGGGGCCAGCGUGGCAGAAUGCACCACCCUGUCUCCUCGCUUGCUUCUCUCUCCGUCGGAUUGCCAAAAAGGGAACGGCACCUAGACGCCGAAAAGUAACUGAAGCAAAGGGAGUUUAAAGAACGCGCCCAGCCGCCUGGGUCUUGAACCCAGUGUUAAUGAGAGCAAAAACCUCUGCAUCCUCCACUGAGCUGUCCUUGAGCAUGUCUCAUAAUCAUGCUUCAUUUUAAAAACAGAAAUAAUUCAUUGCAUUUUGAACAAGGAUAACUGUCAGAAAAGAUCCUCUUUGAAUAAAACAGGUAUCUCCCCCA
ensembl:lncRNA novel transcript